rnacentral:rRNA from 1 species
AUUGAACGCUGGCGGCAUGCCUUACACAUGCAAGUCGAACGGUAACAGGCCGCAAGGUGCUGACGAGUGGCGAACGGGUGAGUAAUGCAUCGGAACGUGCCCAGUCGUGGGGGAUAACUGCUCGAAAGAGCAGCUAAUACCGCAUACGACCUGAGGGUGAAAGAGGGGGACCGUAAGGCCUCGCGCGAUUGGAGCGGCCGAUGUCAGAUUAGCUAGUUGGUGGGGUAAAGGCCGACCAAGGCAACGAUCUGUAGUUGGUCUGAGAGGACGACCAGCCACACUGGGGCGGAGACACGGCCCCGACUCCUACGGGAGGCAGCAGUGGGGAAUUUUGGACAAUGGGCGCAAGCCUGAUCCAGCAAUGCCGCGUGCAGGAAGAAGGCCUUCGGGUUGUAAACUGCUUUUGUCAGGGAAGAAAUCUUCUGGGCUAAUACCCCGGGAGGAUGACGGUACCUGAAGAAUAAGCACCGGCUAACUACGUGCCAGCAGCCGCCGUAAAAC